GGGGGCAUAGCUCAGUUGGUAGAGCACCUGCUUUGCAAGCAGGGGUCAUGUUCGAUCCCGUUUGCCUCCACCA
rnacentral:tRNA from 1 species